AAAAGUUUUUUUUGUAGAGAAGUUUUAAAGAAUUUUUACAGAUUUGUUCUAGAGAAACUACAGAAUUACAAUUGAAAUAACUUAGGAAGAAUAUAGAUCAAAGUGAAAAGACAUUUUAUAAAUUCAAAUAAUAAAAAGAUAUUAUUAUGCAAAAUAAAACUACGGAAAUAAAAGUGAACUCCAGAGAGCUGAGAAAUAUGUACCAGAGAGAUGUACAGAGAUAAAAGAUUGGCACGACUUACCUGAAUGAUCAGAGUUUAUCAGGGUCUUCAGUCAGGACAGCCCUUGCAUCUAGGAAAAACUAUACGUUAUCCCAACAGGUCUGGGACAGUUUCAGAUCAGCGCAGGGCUGUACUGGCCUGUAUUACGUAAAUUACAGCUCAUAGCUCUGAGCUUUCGCAUGCCUGUUAUCUUGCUGCUUAUUGCUUGAAGAGAAGCCAAUAUGACCUUAGGCUAUAGGGAAAAAUAGUCUGUGAAACCACACUGCCUCUCUGGUAAACAUAAUCCAGAAAGAUGACUCACAUCUGAAAUGUAAGGGUUUACUUCGCAACUUCUAAACAACCACUUAAUUUUACGUCUGAAUACCAGUUGGUGGAUUUCCAAACCAACACAUAGGCAGAGACAAUUAUUUGUACUUAAUUUAAUCAGAAGACUAUUUUUCACUAGUUGUUCUUCCCUUUACACACUAGUGAAGCUUUCAACAGAGCUUUGUGUAACAUUGCACCACACAGGAGAACAAUUACUGUUUGAACAAUUACUGUACCAUUACAGGACAGCCGAAUAUCUAAUUAUAACUUUGUGAAAUACAGUGACAAACAUGCUGAACACCAGAACAUAAUAACAUUCAGUGAACAUGCAUAAAUGAAGCCAAUGUCCUAAAAGAGUCACUGCUUAAGUAAGAAUGCUGUUCAGCAGAGCAUCUUUUUAUGACAUUAUUUCUGAGACUAGAGACCCAUGACAUUACAGUCAGUGCAUGAAAGCAGGUUUGUCUCUCUUCUUGUUUAUACAGACUCUUACAUUCACGAGUGUUAGUGAUCACUCAGAGCGGUGGCUCUAACUAUCCAUAACUAACACGACAUCCGUCUUUCAGAAGAGGUUUUGAAACUUACCAGACUGUUCAGUGAAGAGCCGCAAUUAACAGAAGGGAAAUAGCAACACAAAAAUCAGAAAAAAAAAAAAAAAAACCCUGUGGUGGAAAGCGUAGACUACCUGAAUCUUCCAUUACAUGACAGAGUUAUCUUGCUCUUACCAGAUAUUCUUGCUAUAGUCCUCUCACUUCCUUGAACCCUUACCGUUUCCUGCGUUCUUACUACGAGAAUGUAGAGGGCUGCUUUAUAUCAGAGAGGUUUCCACAGGCAGAAGGGCUAGAGACUGCGUAUGUUUCAACGGCUGUGGCUGUGUAUUUCUCAUAAAUCUGAUCUUGGGAUAGCAACUGUAGCUAUCUCAACAAUGAUGGGCCCAUGCGGUGAACAGCUAGAUAGUUCUGAUCCGCUCCUUCCCACUUCACGCAUACUUUGAACCCAGCCCAGAGACAUUUUAUACUGCCUGAUCCCCACUGGGUCCCUUCCACAGACCAAUCUUGUUUUUCUUUCCUGACUUUUCUAUAAUUAUAGAGCCUGGGAGUGGGAUGCCAGACCUCUGCUGGCCAAUUUCCUGUGCUGAAGAUAUACAGGCAGAGGCAGGGCUGCUCAUAUUGACUCCUGUGAGGUGACGGAGGGUAUUCAGUUCCUCAGUAAAUCUGUCACGGCACAGUUGAUGCUGAUCCCUGUGCAGUAGUGAAUUGAACUACAUGCCCAAAGCUCUUACCACCACAUGCCACCUUUCACAUUACUGUCCUGGAGGCUGCUCACCCUAAAGCAAGGACAGAUGAACAGGACAUGCAACAGCUCCUGAAAAGCCACACUUCACAGCCUGGUGCACUGUGUAACACAGACUGUACUGGAUCAGACCACGGCUCCUCUUAGUCCAGUCUUCUGCCUCCCAACUUAGCUGUAAGUUGAUGACUACAGAGUAGUAGGAAAGGGGCAAACAUAUCUACUACUCCCCCCCCAGUAAUCUCCCAGCCUUUGACUAUUUUCAGAGGAUUUCCUGAGCUGGUUGUAAUCUCUCUGUUUGGUAAACCCCCCGGCUCUCUUCCAUGAACUUGUCCAUUCUCCCCUUGAAUCCCUGAGAAAUUUGUGCAUGUUUUUGCAAAUACCCUUUGUGAGGAGUUCCACAGCACUAGUGCUGCUGCAUGAAGAAUAACCUUCUCUGAUUUGCUUCCAGCCUCGCUCUUACAAUCCCUAGCUCUUUGUAAGUACCAUUAUCCACCCUCUCUGCACUGCUCAUCAUUUUGCAGCCUUCUGUAAUCCCCUCCCUCCACCCCGUCACCUAUUUUCCAGGCCUGUUCAGUUGUCCUCCAUAUGAAACCUGUCCUAUGGCUGUGAUCAUCCUUGUUGUCAUUCUCUGAAUCUUUUCCAGGCCUAAUAUAUCUGCUGGAGUUCUGAUCUGGCGAUCAGAACUGCACGCAGUGUUCAAUGUGUGGCUGAACAUGGAUUUGUACCAUACCCUAAUUAUGUGUUCUAUUUGGGUCUCCAUUCAGUCUCUUAAUAAUUGCCAGAGUUGGAUUUGCCUUUUUUGACCACUGCUGAGCACUGAGCUGAUGUUUUCAUGCUAUCUAGCACAAGCCCAAAGACUCACUCCUGCUUGGUAAUGAUCAGCUCAGAGCUCAUUUUUAUAGAUGAAGCUAUCAUUUUUCCCAGUUACUUCACUUUACAGCUAUCUACAUCAAAUAUAAUUUGCUGUUGUAUCACCCUGUUAUUCAGUUUUGCUAAGUCCUUCCACAUUCCUUCACAAUCAGCUCUUACUACUGCAAUAUACUGAAGUAAGUGCUAGUUAUCUUUAAUGUGCUGGGCUGUAAACUGCAGUGGGUUGGGAGCUGCUGGAAGUCCUGUUUGGCAUUUCCCCUCCAGGGUUACUAACAUCCAGGAGAGUCAGGGCAGGAAACUCACCUCCUUUUAAUCUACUGUCAGAUGUGAGUGUGUCCCCUUAAUCUCAUAAACUGUAAUAAAAAUUUUUAUGCUCUCUGCAAUGGACAAAGCUGGUGAGGCCAAGUAGCCAAUUUUAAACCAGUUACUGUAACCCCUUUUUUUCCAAAGUAGUAUAACGGAUUUUGUAAUCACUGUAUAUACUAUAUCCCAGCAGAAAGAAAAAUUCUAUAACUUUGGCUGCAACAGUAAAUUAAUUGUGGACUUUGCUAGAAUAUCUCACUGGGUUGUUACUUUGCUUCAUUCUCUUAUCACAAACUGCACUGACAUGUAACACUCAAAAAACUGAGUUUGUUUGUAGUGUCUGUCACGUGAAGAAAAAGGAUUAGAAUAGCAUCUUUUUAAAAAGUGAUGAGCAAGCGUAUUCAGUUAGGUGAAGAUGGGAAGUCUUGUGGCUAGACACUGAAUUAGGAGCCACAGGACUGGGCUUCUGUUUCCAGUACUGAACAAAGCUUCUGCAAUGCAAUGCCCAACAUGCUCUCCCUCUGGUAUGUUAAACCAGCUUUCCAUGCGCACAAAAGAAUUCAUGAGGGAAAUAACAUGACUCCCUCUGGACCCUUCACUUACUGCCAAGAAACUUUAUUCUUAACAUGCAUAGGAUAAGAAACUCCUUUGCACUGCUUCCUUGCACAACAUUUACUGAAGGAUAUGAUUCAGGGAGAGCUUCUUACUGUGGACAGGAGAGCAUUCCUCAGCUUUCACAAUCACCAGACAUUAAAACACAGAUGACUAUACCAGUGCAGCCCUUUUUCUUGAAUGACAGUGAUAAUAUUUGGCACAUCUAUUGUGUUUCCAAUAGAAACCCCUCUUGUUACAUUACCCCAAAACAGAGUACAGCUUCCCCUUUCUCCUGAUGUGCCCACUUCCCACCAUGGUUGGCAGCGCAGGGCAGCUGCUUACAGCAAUGCUGGGUACUAGUGAGGAGGAAACAGCCCCCCAAGUGGCUUUUGGUACUAGACUGUCAAACCCUAUACAUCCGCAGAGCUGGGUAAAUGAUAACACAGACCCGAGAAUAAGGGCCAAAGUCACCAAAUGUAACCACUGAAGAAGUCUGCUUUCAGUGACUGAACCUGGCUCUUUUUUCAGGAACCAAAAAUGCUAUCUGUGAAGUAAACAGCUUAAGUUACUAUGCAGAAAAAAAUAUAAUCAUCACCUAGCCAGUCCUUUGGGACGAAAGAUCUUGAAAGUGUAAAUGAGAUGGAACUGGCAUGUCUCUUGCCUGGAAUAUUUGAAAGCAUUUGUUGGUAGCAGGUAUAAUCAUGUACUGCUAGCCAGACCGUGGAGCCCAACCGAUAGCCACUGACUUGCCAGCUGUGAGAUCUUUAUCAUUCCUUCUGGCUAAGGGAAAAGCAGGCGAUGACUUGGGACAACUGCCAGCCAUUAGGAGAGACCACUUAUGCGUAUGGUUGAUUUUAUAGCCAAGGAGUACUCUGUUUCCUAAGUACAGAGCACUGAUUACAGCCAACAUGUUCACCUCAGCUUUGUGACUGUGUUCUCAGGAAAGUGGCAUAACACUUCAUGGCAACACGAGACCACCAAGAGGAACUGUAAAAGCAAAUGCAGCAAAUAAGGUGAAUGGUGCUGAACUGUUGGGGGGGGAAAGCAAUUUUAGUACAAUGUUGACCACUAAUACUGCAAAGUCAUUUUUGCAGCUAAGCAAUGUGAGCAGGUGGAGCAGUUGUGCAUGUAUGGAUUAUGCAGGUCCCUUUGGUAUUCCACAACAGAAGCAAGUACGAGGAAAAAGAGACUUGCAGCUAAAUCACUAAGGACUGAAAAGGUAAGUUCAGGUCCUGCCAGAACUUUGACUUGCAAUCUGACAGAUUACCUACAUUCCAAGUUGAAGAAUUUCAGCUUUUUGCAUUUCAGCUGUGAGCAUGCUAAAUAAUGUUUUUGUCUCAUUUCAUCCAUCAGAUUUCUCAGUUUUAUCCAGUUUCCAUAAGAAUCAUUUGAAUUCCUCAAAAUUACGCCCCCCCCCCCAAUUUUGCUGUCUCACUUGUAAGUGUGUGACAAGGCUGUCCACUUCAGAGGGGUCUUGUAAAGGUGAUGUUAACAACAGCUGUAAAGUGCCCUGAGUGGUGAAGAGUCUCAGAUGAAAAGCAGUAUGGCUGUGCAAAGCAUUAUGAAGUCUUUGUAAAUUAAGACAGUAACAAGACAGGUACAUAUUUUUUGUUAGCAUGUGAGAUUCAGUAUCUGUGCUAAACAUAGCAUUUCCAUGCUAAUAAUCUCCACCAGCUGCUAUAGCUACAGAUUGGUCCUUCAGUUCAUUUCAAAGCACGUGUUUUCCUCCAGUUCUUGGACUCCUUCACCUCUGUAGCCACCAGGAUUUCUUCAACGCAGUUAUUAAACAGCUCACACAUACCUGCCCCACCUUCCAGUACGUUCAUCUGCAUUCCUUACCCUGUUCCAAGACAUGCUUUGUUCAUGUAUUUGCAUUUUCAGAGCUCACGUUUUCUGUCUUACUUAUUCCUGUGGGACCAAGUAAUCCUAUGAAGUGUUGCUGAGUUACAGUCAUGAUGAAUUUAGCCCACAGUCUUGAAAGCCAAGUGAUCCUGUCUUUGCAAGAACAGAUAGAGGGUACAUGAUCUUAUAGCUUAAUCAGUACUUUUUGGAAGUAUUUUACAACUUCCUUAAAAAAUUAAGUGCUGGAAAUAUUUCUAGUGAUAACCUUUUGACCUUACCGAACACAUAACAACCUUCACUAUAUGCGUUUUUGUUUGUUCUGAGAUCCGUGACCAAAAUUUGCAAGCUUUCUCCCAGCUUCUUCUCAGUUUAUAAAGCUUUUCCUAAUCUCCUGUGUUUACUAAAUCUCCAAUUUCCAAAUGAUGUUAAUCUUUCAAGCCCUCUAAAUUUCUCUGACAGUGACAGCUCUGUCUUCCAGUUGAUGCAGUACUUAGUAGGUCUGAUGGAACAAAACCCGAGGUCAGAACAGAUGACCUUGGAGGCUAUUCUGAGUCUGGACCUUGGCAUAAACCAGCUGAAAAAUGAUCCCUCCUUUCCCCCUUCUUGUUCUGCUUGUGCAGUGCAGCAAAUCAAAACCUCAGAUCUGCUUAACUCCUAUCACUGCUUGAUUUGCAGUCUGGAAAAAAAAAUCAAGCUCCUCAUUUCCAUACAGCAAGUGGGAACCAGUAGUGGUCGGCAACUUUCUAGUCUUGGCCAAGGGCAAAGGAAAUAAUCUAGCACUGCUUUGAAAUACAAAUCUGUUUGCUUCUUACUGGGGCAAUGGAAAGAUCUGAGUCCUUGACUAAUAUUAACACAUUCAGCUGAGGCUGAUCUCAUUUCCCAUUUUUCUGUUCUCAUCUCAAAUUUUAUGCCUUAAUUUUUAGUUGAAAUCUUUUGUUUUUAAGGUCUACUUGGCAUCAACUCCUUCUCAGUGCUGUUCAUUCUUUCCAUUAAUUACACUUCUUAGCUGCUUACUUAACAUAUUACCUAAUUAUGAUUAAAAUGCAAACAAUAUUCUGUUCUGAAAAUAUCUAAGAAGUGAUAUCUCAAGAAGAGUUUGUUAGAUUUUGUAUGGUAGAGAAAGUGUCCCCAGGUUCUGGGUAGGAAAGUUGUUCUGCUGAUUACCCUCAUUUUCUUCUAGUCACCUUUCUGCAAAUGUCGGUCCUGCUCAGCACUUCCAGUGUGACGUGAGGAUCAUGACAGAUGGAGGCAUAAAGUUUGAGAAGUUUGUUUAUGAUAAAAACAUCCUUAAAAUGACAAAGUUGAUUAGGACAAUCAGAGCGGUUAAGAUACGAUGACACUGCAUGAAUAUUGAAUGACACUGGGAAAAUGCUGUGGUUUAAUGCGAGUCCACUCUAAACCAGGAGGUAAAGAGGUUGCUGACAGAUCCAUCUCAGAACCUUUGCAAAAGAGUUUCAUUUAGAAGAAAUGCCUGGGAAGAGAAGUGAAGAUAAACAGCAGGAACCAGAGGCUGGCUGUUUUGGCGGACAAGCUCAUGUUGUCACCCACGUGAAGGUUUGCAAUCCUGCUGAAUGAUAGGUGCUCUACAAGCCUUCUUGAGAGGAUGGAAGGAUUUAGGGAAUGAUAUAGUAGUGAGAGAGGUUUUCUCCUCCGGGACAGAUCCCAACCCAUACUUGCUUUGAGGAUGUGGAUUUCUUUUGUUGAUUCAUCGCAAUACUGUUUUGAUUUAGGAAGCUGACACACCUUGAGAUGUGGAUCACUUGUCUGAUUACAGCAGAAACUCUUCUGACUAAACACCACUGCAAAGCUUUCCUGUUUUCUCAGUUUUAUUUUCUAUAUUGAGCUUUGCAGUCUUUUAUCCAUGCUAUACUGGCAUACAUAAAACUGCACUUUAAAAGUGGCCAGUCUGUUUUUAUUGAGAAAAAAAAAUGCCUUCUGAUGUUUUUGUUAGCAUCAGUCCCCAGAAUACAAUUCCUAACACUGGGAACAUGUUCCCCAUAAUGUGCCAGACAAAAGUUCAUGGCUUUGUCUUAUUGAAGUCUUGAUUAUUCAUGAAGUUCCCAAUUAGUCACUCCACACCCUUGAAUUAUUUCUGACACAUGUAAAAUGCCUUCUGCUGAAUUCCUACUCCAAAGAGCCUCUUGCAUGACCGGUUUAUCAGUGAAUGCUAGCAGACUCAUGAUUUACAAUGCUUCAUCAUCACGGUAUGUGCAAUUCUAAACAUGACGGCUAGGGAAACCAGACCCACCUAUUUUUCUUCUAUAAGCUCACAGCCUCAAAAACCUCCCAGCAGCCACACAAGAGGAGUUCAUCCAGGGAAGGUAUGUGUGCUGAGACCCUAUAUUACCCUGUGGAUCUCAACAUGUCUAUGAAGAUGAAAGAAAAUGGAUCAGCUGGAGGUAUAUCAAUUCACAUGCAGGGAAGAUAAGGAGAUCAAAAUAUUAAAUUGAAGAAUCAUUUCUGUCACUUUUCACUUUCUUGCUUUCCCUUUGCUGCUAAAAAAUGUGCUUACCACUGGCUAAAUACUCAGCUGUGAUGUAAGUAAUGGAUGUUAACUGUCUGUGUGUGAAAAGUGGAGACAUUUUCCUUUGUGAGCUAAAACUCAGCACUGGUCCCUUGCCCUGCCCAUGUUGACCUUGCCUCCUUUAAAAAAAAAAAAAAACCUCUCUGCUGUGUUUGCCCACAAACACAGUUAGUACACAUCACUCAAUAAACAGUUAAGGCAAAAAUCUUCUGCCAAUGCCUACAGAAGACAGGCAUAGGCCAUUUCCCAAAGGUUCUUCAGCCUUUUCCUGAAAUAAAAGAUCUCUAGACUGGCCCUCAGGGAUUUUCACACAUCUUCUUUCUUCCACAAAGAAAAGCUCUUUUAGGGGCUCCAACAAUGAGGGGAACCUUCCCCAAAGGAGAACCUCCUCCAAAGCAAGCAGGUAAUUUGUAAUAAGGAUGCUUUGAGGGGUACCAACAACUCCUCCUUGUGACCUCAUGCUGCGCUCAGUUGCAGCUCCAUUUUGCACCAGCUUCAUUAUGCAGCAAGAACAUAUACACAGUAAUUCAACUGCUAGCUUUGAAUUAGUCCUAGUACCGAGUGGAUUAGUGUUGAUGUGGUCAGAUGUAAUCACUGUCCUGUACGUGACAGUGUAUGUGUCUCUUUAGAAAUGGGGUGCUUUCUCAUUAGAGAGGAGCUCUGUUGAGUAGAUGAGUACUCACCACAGGAAAAGACUGUGUAGAAAUCUCUGCAGUCAGUGAAAGGGACUGAUGCACUUCCAUGGGAGGCUGCACCCAUAUUCCCUAGUAGGUGGCUAAUUCUGGCAUAAUGCAAGACUGAAGACAUUAGCUCUGCAGUGUGAGAUUUUCGGCUGCGACUCCAUGUGUUUCUCCUAUGAAAAUCUCUGUCAUUGCAAAACAAAACAACAGCCCCCAAAAUAACGUUGAACAGUCAUUUUAGCAAUUGUGAUCAAUUAUUCAUUUGACUGAUUAAAAACAAAAUCUCAUUAGACUUUACAGUUGUGAAUUUUGUAUUUCCAGUGGUAAAACUCCCUCCUCCUUUUAUUCACAGAUGGCCACAAUGAGUGGUUUGGUUGUUUUUUUUUUUUUUGCUCAAUAAUUAAUCAUUUUUGUGUCAUGUCUGACUUGCUUUAGGGAUUUACAUUGUGUUUCUCUCUUAAGGAUCACUGUGAUUGAGACACAAAUCUCUGUGCAUCUGGGCAUAUGUGAAAAAUUUCAAGAUCUGUGCAGAUGACUAAGUAUGUUUUUUAACAUGCAUUUUACCACCUUAAAGGCAUCUACACAGGACAGUAGUAAGAGCUGAUCUGUCAUCUCUCCAUCUUGUCACUAGAUCCACUGGAGUCUGACAGCUGAAUAGAGACUAUAAUUAAAAGUAUCAGUUUUCGUCAGACUUUUCUCAUAUUCCCUAGCUAAUUUAGUUUUAUGCAUUUCAAGAAGCUUCAGUGGGAACAGGACCAACUCUUUUUAUUUUCCCCCUAAACUCUAUGCCUCCUUUUCUAAGAAAGAGGAGUUAUUCUCAGAUUUCCUGCAGUAAUAACCCUUUACAUUCUUUUGGGGGUCAGCAUAAUUACAGUGUUACACAGAGGAGUGUCUUGGUUUGCACUGACUCCUUGGGAGAACAGCCCCAGGCAGUUUGAGGCUGGGAGCAGCUGUGCAAAGGUUCUUGUAGGAGUAGUCAGGUAUUAGACUCCCCACCCUCAUGAAGGUUACAGAGGAUAAUGCCACAAGUUUCACAGGAAUAAAGAGCCUUUUGCUUGCUCUUCUAAGAAGGAGCUAUGUUAGAAGGAGCAAACAAAAACUGGACUUGAUUUCAUAUCCUUCUACUCCCACAGCUAUCCUCACUGGAGUCAGCAACACUGCUCAUGUGAACAUAUGAUGUGCUUUAUAUCCAGACUAACUGGAGGAAGGAAACUGAUUUAAAGAAAAUCCAGAAUAAGAUAUUGUUUCUACUGGAAAAAGUAUUCCGGGGGCACAUCAUCACCUACCUGUAACAACACAUACUAAGGCAGAUCCCAUCGCCCCCAAGCUCAGCCCAGCUGCGAGGGGGAUGGUGGCUGCCACAGUGUUUCUCCCUGCCCGGAGGCACACAGCCCUGCUACAAGAGGAAUGGUGUGUCACUACUGUUCGCUCAUGGAAAAGGUAGUGCAACAAACCUGGUCUUCCCAGGCGUCUCUGGGACAGGAGCCUCGGGGCCUACCUCCUCAUCUGGGCAUGGACAGUAGAGAGCUGUCUCUGGCACGUUUUUUGUUAGCAUCUUACAUAUUACAAUUAUAAAAUUAAUUAUAAUAAUUAAUCAGAAUUAAUAGGAUUACUCAUGUAUCUUAAAAAAUAUUUCAGCUGAAGCUCAUUUAACUUACUCUACCUCUAUGGUAUAAGAGAUUCCAUCAGUGAGUCAGCACCUAAGUCCCCCCCCACCCUAAAUGCCAUUGAAGGUACCCAUUAAACACACUAGGAACCUCAGAACCCUCCUAUGAACUACCUACACUGGAGACGACUAUAAUUAAGCGAGCUAACGUCAAGUAAGUUCUACCUUUCAAGUCCAGUUUGUGGUGUCUGAGUAUCUAAUGCUAUAGGAGAAAACAAGGAUAUAUGAUUAGAGAUUAAUGCCAAAUUCCCACGGUCCUAGAGUGUAACAGCAAUUAUUCUAUAUGGACAGAUUUUGUUCCUUCCAUGUAUUGCCUGUGCAUAGACGAAUACUCUUCAGAAACAUAUUUCCUGCCAAAACAGAAUAAAGGGAUAUGUCAGCUUCAGAAAUAUUCCCUUUGCAACUGGGAUGCCACAGAUUUGCUUCUGAGGCCAGCCUGAGCUGGGAUAGGGAGUGUGGACAGGGCUGGUUUCAAACAAGACAGCACAUGCAUUUUAUAUACUCAGGAGAUUGUUUACUGUCAGACUUCUAUGUGGAAGUAACAUCAGGAAUGAAUGCUUUUGCAAAGGGAAUUCAUACUGUGGCUCAUACAGGGGCUUCCACUGCUAUAUGGAAGGAGCUAUGUAGCCAGAUAACUAGACUCUCAGAGAUUUAGGAGAAUUUUUCCCACUAGCUCACCCGGAUCCGGUGGUGGUCUCUGGAAACUCUAUUGCCCAUCAUGCUUGUUCCUCUGAGGUGUCCUUUGCAGGAACUAAUGAGGUAGCCAGGUUUUCUAUUCUUGGUCCCUUCUAGCAGGUCUGCCUGUGGAAUGACGGACUCUAGGCCACCCUUAGGAAGCCAUUUUUAGUGUCAAGGUUAGAGGAGCUUUUUAUUCUUGAUGCAACAGUGGUAACUCGCAAGACCACUUGCUGUUGAUUUCUGCACCGCAUGAUGCAGUACAAAUGCUAAGUAUAAUGUACAAUCAUAAAGUGACGUAAAUAACAGCGCAUCUGCCAACGUCUGCAUAUAUGUGAGGUCAGUGAGUUUACAUUCCCUCAGGUCAGAAAACAGAACAAGUGUGAUCUCUCAUCCUCAUGCCAGUUUCUCCACAUUACAAAGUCACAACAAGAUGUGGCGACACAUUGUUUCUGCUCCAGGGAGGAUGGGACUGAAGGCUUAUCCAUACCGCUCAGAAAAACAAACUAGAAGGAACUAACAUGCAGAAGCAAUCUCAAGCACAGUUGGGGUUGGAAGGCAGCUCUGGAGAUCUUCUGGUUCAAACCCCUGCUCAAGAGCAGAUUGCCCAGGACUGUGUCCAGUCAAGUUUGGAAUAUCUCCAAGGAUGGAGAUUCCACAACUGCUCUGGACAACCUGUCCCAGUGUUCUACCACCCUCACAGGAAAAAAGUGUUUUCUUAUGUCCAUACAGAAUUUCCUAUGAUUCAGUUUGUGCCCAUUGCCUCUCAUCCUGUCACUGGGCACCACUGAGAAGAGCCUGGCUCCGUCUUCUUCGCACCCUCCCAUCAGGUCUCAGGAACCUCUCCCAGUCACCAUGACCUUUCAGACAUAAUCGAGAGUGGCCUCACAACGACACUGGCCAGCUCCCUCAGCACUUGCAGCUGCAUCCCAUCAGGGCCCAUGGACUUGUGUGUGUUGUGUGUGCUGAAGUGUUCCCUAGCCUGAUCCUCCUCCACCAAGGGUGAGUGUUCAUUGCUCCAGACUUCCCCUCUGGUCACAGGGGCCUGGGCUUCCUGAGGGCUGGUCCUUCCACUGGAGACUCAGGCAAGGAAGGCACUCAGUGUCUCUGGCUCUUCUCUGUCCCUUGUAACCAGGGCCCCUGCCCCAUUUAGCAGUGUGCCCACAUUUUCCCGAGCCUUCCAUUUGCUGUUUAUGUACUUGUAGAAGCCUUUCUUGUUGCCUUUCAUGUCCCCGGCCAGUUUGAAUUCCAGGUAGGCCUUAGCUCUUCUAACUCCAUCCCCACAUGCUCGGACAGUGUCCUUAUAUUCCUGCUGGGCUACCUGUCCCUGAUUCCACCUCUUGCACACUUCCUUUUUAUGGUCAGGAGCUCCUUCUUCAUCCACACAGGCAUCCUGCCGCCUUUGCUUGAUUUCCUGCUGCUUGGAACGGACCGUUCUUGAGCUUGGAGGAGCUUUAUCCUUGAGCAUCAGCCAGCUUUCUUGGACCCCUUUUCUCUCCAGGGCUGUAUCCCACAGGAUUCUUCUGGGCAGGUCCCUGAACAGGUCAGAGUCCACUCUCCUGAAGUCCAGGGCUGUGAUUCUCCUUUUUGCCUUGCUUCUUCCUCACGGGAUUCUGAACUCCACCAUCUUGUGGGUGCUGCAGCCAACGCUGCCCCCAGCUUUCGCAUCUCUGACCAGUCCUUCCUUGUUUGUAAGUAUGAGGUCCAGCAGAACAAGCUUCCUCAUCAGCUUCUUGAUCACCUGUAUUAGGAAGCUGUCAUCAAAGCAUUCCAGAAACCUCCUGAAUUGCUUGUGCCUUUCUGUGCCAUUCUUCCAGCAGAUAUCACGGUGGUUAAAGUCCCCCGUGAAGUCCCCCCAUGUGAAUGUGAAGCUUCUUCCAGUUGUCUGAAGAAAGGCUCAUCCACUUCUUCCUGACCAGGUGGCCUAUAGCAAACACAGAUACAGUGGAGAACAAGCAUCCUGGUUUUCCCACAGCAUGAAAUAGCAUAUUUCAUAGUACAAACCUCCUAAGGAACCUUCAUUGCUUGGUCUUUACUGUAUUUUUUACCAUAGUCAGUCAUGCUCCUCAGUAAAGGCACACCUUAUUUAGCAGGGAUUGCAAGGGCUAAGAGACAUUUGUUUGGUGUUUGCCUGCCUGCAUGGGAAAAGAGGUCUACCACUCUAAAGUGAUAUAUAUAACCUAGUGUCCAGUUCUGAUGAUCAGAGAGGGAGAUGAAAGUGCAACAGCAGAAGGCAAUUAUGCAAAACUUCCACAUGGGAAUUGCAUUUUCCUAUUCCCCAGCUGUUAUUCUGUGUGGUAAUCUAUUAAUUCUUUAACUAAACUCUUUGGGUUAUUUUUCUAACCCUUACUGAUGUCACUCUUAAUAUUCUUGUUAUUCUUAUAAAUACACAAUCCCCUUUCUGAAGAAAUUUUAGCCAUCCAGAUAACAUGCACUAUGACUUCCAAAUCAGUACAGUAAAUUAACCAACAGAAUUGAAAAUAAAAUUAAACUUUGGAUGAAAGCUAAAUUAUAUACCCUUAAGGCUUAUAAAUUUGUUGUGGUCCAGUUUAUAAAUGCAUGUCCCCAAGAUGAAUAUCAUUCUGAUGGUUUCUAUAUUUUUCUUAGAAUUAGACAACUUGGGAGGCAUACAUUUGUAUGCAGAACAAAGUUAUCGUUAUAAAGACAUGUUCUGCAUAAAGGAAAAAACAGUGUAUCACAGAGGUUUACAUCAAAGACAGAAAUUGCUGAAAGUUGGUAUGGGCAAGUCAUACCUUUGAAUUUUAUUCACUUUGGCAACACCUAAAAACACAGACAUUAUCUUGCCCACCUCUGCUCUCUGUAGACAAGCUUGCUGCAACGUUACCUAUCCAGAGUGCCAAGAGCCCUACAGCUAGCUCUCAGUCUGGCCACGGUAUAUCCUGCUCGGAGACACAGCAAACCGGCAAGCUGAUGCUGGCAUGGAGCUUGUCCCCAGCAGUGGGCUCCGCAACGGGACCGUAUGGAUAGCUGUGCUACAUUAUAGAUAAUGUAAUAGACAGGGGAGAAAUUUUUCUGAUGCAAGCACAAUAUAAGGCCGUCAUAUACAUGGAUACAUUGGAGGCAAGAGUAGGCAACAGACAAGGAGGGGCUGCAACGCUAGCACUAGAAGGACUCUGAGCUGUAAUAUCUACCUAAAAUUCACAGCACUGAGCAACGUCAUAAAGGUCUGUAUGGUCUUGAUCCUAGAAAACAGGAGUGCACUCAUUCUCCUCCAAUUCAUUAGGCCUUUAAGUACAAAUAUUUUGGACUCUCCUUAAGCAUGCCACAUGUGAAAGUUGAAGUUAUUGUUGGUGAACAGUGAAUAUGCAUAUGACCCCCAUUUGGAUCAUGUUUCACUGUGAAAGGACUGUCUUCAUGCAGACUGCCAACGAUCGUAUGUUUGGAACCUGUUUUCCAUGCUCAGUAAAAAAGUUUCCUACUUCUUUUUUCGAAAGCUACAGAGCCCUAAUAUACUUGCUAGAUCUGGGCCCAGCCCUGUAAAUCUUGCUCCAGUGAAUAAGCCUUACUAAUGACAUGGCGAUUUUCAUGUCAUGAGAAAAAGCUUUUAUGGAAUCAUGAUCUGUAAAUACUAAUGAAAAGCCAGUCCAGCUUGUGCUUAGAUAAAGCAGCAAUGCAUGCAUUAUAAUCAUUUUAUCAUUUUUAUAGUCAAACUCUAACCACCAAAAAAUAACCAUACAUAUAAUGGAUAAUACACAAAUGAAGAAGUCAUUUUCUAAAGACCUGCUUGGAUAACAUAAUUAUUCUUUUCAAUGCAUUAAACUUGAAUAGGGAUCUGGGAUCAGCAAGAUAAAAAUGAUGGCAAUACUAAAUUUAAAGUGUUUUCCAGACAACGAACUGAGGAAGUGUCUAGAGAGGUUUUACGGCAAACCUGAUAAAUCUUUCCGCAUUUUUUAAUGCUGAAUAUUAGUUAUUUCAUAAUCUACAGUGCUUACUUAGCAACUGCUACAGGCUAUUGAAUAAACUCUCAUGGCAACAUACAGUUUUUGCCAUAGGCCAGAAUUGUGAAACUACAUUUGGAUCAUCUGUCAUCCUGAAUCUGCCUAUGUUGUUGUUACUUUAUACAUGCACAUCUCGAGAUGAUUAACAGUCCUGAAUAUUCAUCAACCUUAUUUCAAAGAUAGGGUAACUGUGAUGUAAUACAGUUAAGACAUUUGCUUGAUAUUACAUGAAUUAGCAUCCAUAUAAAGAGUGGAACACAUUUCCUUAUUUUUUGUGCCAUUCAUAAUCUGCUGGACAAAAGUGCCAAAAAAUAACUCUCACUAUUAUUCACUAAGUUUCAAUAGACUAGUGUAACUGGAUAUUAAAGUAAUAAUGGCUAAAUGUGGCCAUCACCAGAAACUGAAUAAAGUUCAUGUGCACAUCUUCUGUUUUGGGGAAAAAAGUGAUGUUUUCUAUCUUCAUAAUGUGAUUAAAAAAAUACCUGCUACCA